CGAAUGGCUCAUUAAAUCAGUUAUCGUUUAUUUGAUAGUACCUUACUACUUGGAUAACCGUGGUAAUUCUAGAGCUAAUACAUGCUAAAAACCCCGACUUCGGAAGGGGUGUAUUUAUUAGAUAAAAAACCAGCGCCCUUCGGGGCUCCUUGGUGAUUCAUAAUAACUUAACGAAUCGCAUGGCCUUGCGCCGGCGAUGGUUCAUUCAAAUUUCUGCCCUAUCAACUUUCGAUGGUAGGAUAGUGGCCUACCAUGGUAUCAACGGGUAACGGGGAAUUAGGGUUCUAUUCCGGAGAGGGAGCCUGAGAAACGGCUACCACAUCCAAGGAAGGCAGCAGGCGCGCAAAUUACCCAAUCCCGACACGGGGAGGUAGUGACAAUAAAUACUGAUACAGGGCUCUUUUGGGUCUUGUAAUUGGAAUGAGUACAAUUUAAAUCCCUUAACGAGGAACAAUUGGAGGGCAAGUCUGGUGCCAGCAGCCGCGGUAAUUCCAGCUCCAAUAGCGUAUAUUAAAGUUGUUGCAGUUAAAAAGCUCGUAGUUGAACCUUGGGCCUGGCUGGCCGGUCCGCCUCACCGCGUGUACUGGUCCGGCCGGGCCUUUCCUUCUGGGGAGCCGCAUGCCCUUCACUGGGCGUGUUGGGGAACCAGGACUUUUACUUUGAAAAAAUUAGAGUGUUCAAAGCAGGCCUUUGCUCGAAUACAUUAGCAUGGAAUAAUAGAAUAGGACGUGCGGUUCUAUUUUGUUGGUUUCUAGGACCGCCGUAAUGAUUAAUAGGGAUAGUCGGGGGCAUCAGUAUUCAAUUGUCAGAGGUGAAAUUCUUGGAUUUAUUGAAGACUAACUACUGCGAAAGCAUUUGCCAAGGAUGUUUUCAUUAAUCAGUGAACGAAAGUUAGGGGAUCGAAGACGAUCAGAUACCGUCGUAGUCUUAACCAUAAACUAUGCCGACUAGGGAUCGGGCGAUGUUAUCAUUUUGACUCGCUCGGCACCUUACGAGAAAUCAAAGUCU
rnacentral:rRNA from 1 species